rnacentral:rRNA from 1 species
CAGAGGAGCCAAGCGUUGUCCGGAUUGACUGGGCGUAAAGCGCACGCAGGCGGCACCGCGCGUGGGGUGUGAAAUCUGGCCGCUUAACGGCCAGGCGCCAUCCCAUACGGCGGAGCUGGAGCGAUGCAGAGGUCGGUGGAAUUGCCGGUGUAGUGGUGAAAUGCGUAGAGAUCGGCAGGAACACCCAGGGGGAAACCAGCCGACUGGGCAUCUGCUGACGCUGAGGUGCGAGAGCGUGGGGAGCGAACCGGAUUAGAUACCCGGGUAGUCCACGCCGUAAACGAUGGCCACUCGGCCUUUGGCAGCGGAACCUCCGCUGCUGGGGGCCUUAGCUAACGCGGGAAGUGGCCCGCCUGGGAACUACGAGCGCAAGCUUA